AGAGCGAACGCUGGCGGCAGGCCUAACACAUGCAAGUCGAGCGCCCGUAGCAAUACGGGAGCGGCAGACGGGAUAGUAACACGUGGGAACGCGCCCUUCGGUUCGGAAUAACUCAGGGAAACUUGAGCUAAUACCGAAUACGCCCUUACGGGGAAAGAUUUAUUGCCGAAGGAACGGCCCGCGUCCGAUUAGCUAGUUGGUGAGGUAAUGGCUCACCAAGGCUACGAUCGGUAGCUGGUCUGAGAGGAUGACCAGCAUCACUGGGACUGAGACACGGCCCAGACUCCUACGGGAGGCAGCAGUGGGGAAUAUUGGACAAUGGGCGCAAGCCUGAUCCAGCCAUGGCCGCGUGGAUGAUGAAGGCCUUAGGGUUGUAAAGUCCUUUUAACGGGGAAGAUAAUGACGGUACCCGUAGAAUAAGCCCCGGCUAACUUCGUGCCAGCAGCCGC
rnacentral:rRNA from 1 species